rnacentral:lncRNA from 1 species
GGCUGGUGAUGGCGGCGGCUAUGGGUUCCGCGCUGUUGCCCCUCUUGGCGUUUCUCGGGCCCGCGGCCGCGCUCGCCGGAUACAUCGAGGCCCUUGCAGCCAAUGCUGGGACAGGGUUUGCAGUGGCAGAACCUCAAAUUGCCAUGUUCUGUGGGAAGCUAAAUAUGCAUGUGAACAUCCAGACUGGGAAAUGGGAACCUGACACUUCUGGGACCAAGAGCUGCUUUGGAAGAAAGGAGGAGAUUCUGCAAUACUGCCAGGAGAUGUACCCAGACCUUCAGAUCACCAACGUGGUAGAAGCCAACCAGCCCGUCAGCAUUGACAGCUGGUGCAAGCGUGGGAAGAAGCAGUGCAAGGACCACACUCACAUCGUUGUGCCAUACAAGUGCCUGGUGGGUGAGUUUGUAAGUGAUGUCCUGUUGGUGCCCGAGAAGUGCCGGUUCUUCCACAAGGAGCGCAUGGAUGUGUGUGAAAGCCACCAGCACUGGUACACUGUGGCAAAGGAGGCCUGUCUGACAGAAGGGAUGAUCCUGCACAGCUAUGGGAUGCUGCUGCCCUGCGGAGUGGACCAGUUCCAUGGAACAGAAUAUGUGUGCUGUCCUCAGACUAAGGUUGUGGAUGAGGCUCUGUCCAAAGAGGAAGAGGAUGAGGAUGAAGACUAUGACCUCUACAAGAGUGAGUUCCCUACAGAGGCAGGUGUAGAAGACUUCACAGGAACAGCUGUGGAGGAAGAUGAGGAUGAGGAUGAUGAAGGGGAAGAGGAGGAGGAUGUGGUGGAAGACCGUGAUUACUACUAUGACAGCUACAAGGUUGAUGACUACAAUGAAGAGACACCCACAGAGCCCAGUAGUGACAAGGCUAUGUCUGAAAAAGAAGUGAGCAGUGACAUGAAAUCUGUCUGCUCCCAGGAGGCCAUGACAGGGCCCUGCCGGGCUGUGAUGCCUCGUUGGUACUUCGAUCCUAACAAGAGAAAAUGCAUUCGCUUUAUAUAUGGAGGCUGCGGAGGCAACAGGAACAAUUUUGAGUCAGAGGAGUAUUGUAUGGCUGUGUGUAAAAAGAUGAGUAAGUCCUUGCCAACUGAUGAUGUGGAUGUGUAUUUUGAAACCCCUGCUGAUGACAAUGAGCAUGCCCGCUUCCAGAAGGCCAAGGAGCAGCUGGAGGUCAGGCACCACAACCGCAUGGACCGGGUGAAAAAGGAGUGGGAGGAAGCAGAGCACCAGGCUGUUAAUCUCCCCAAGGCAGAAAGGCAGACUCUGAUCCAGCACUUCCAGGCCAUGGUAAAAUCUCUGGAGAAAGAAGCAGCGAGUGAGAAGCAGCAGCUGGUGGAGACUCACCUGGCUCGUGUGGAAUGGUUUGACCUAUUCCCUGCUCCUGUCCUGCAGCCCCACCGCAUCCUGCAGGCCCUGAAGCGCUAUGUCCGUGCCGAGAACAAGGAUAGGCUGCACACCAUCCGCCACUACCAGCAUGUCCUGGCAGUGGAUCCGGAGAAGGCUGCACAGAUGAAAUCCCAGGUGAUGACACAUCUUCAUGUGAUUGAGGAACGGAUGAAUCAAAGCUUGUCUCUGCUCUACAAGGUGCCAUAUGUGGCUGAAGAAAUCCAGGAUGAAAUUGAUGAGCUGCUUCAGGAGCAGCGUGCAGACAUGGAUCAGUUCACAUCCUCCAUUUCUGAGUCCCAGGUGGAUGUCAGAGUGAGCUCUGAGGAGAGUGAAGAAAUUCCCCUGGAUGGCAAACCUUUCCACCCGUUCCAGGUGAAAACCUUCCCAGCCUUGCCUGAAAGUGAAGAUCCUCAGCCGGAUUUGUACCAUCCAAUGAAAAAAGGUUCUGGCAUGACUGAGCUGGAUGGGCUGAUUGGUGCUGAAGAAAAAGUGAUUAAUAGCAAGAACAAGGUGGAUGAAAAUGUGGUAAUUGAUGAAACCCUUGAUGUGAAGGAGAUGAUUUUCAACGCAGAGCGUGUCGGAGGGCUGGAUAAUGACAACUCCCUCCGUGAUGACUUUGGCUUCAGCAGCAGUGCCCUUAUUGGGCUGUUGGUGAUUGCUGUUGCCAUAGCUACUGUUAUAGUCAUCAGCUUGGUGAUGCUGAGGAAGAGGCAGUAUGGGACUAUCAGCCAUGGAAUUGUGGAGGUUGACCCGAUGCUCACCCCUGAGGAGCGGCAUCUGAGCAAGAUGCAAAACCAUGGCUAUGAGAAUCCCACUUACAAAUACCUGGAGCAGAUGCAGAUAUAAAAGAGAUGAAGAUGGAAUAGCCCCGAUAGGAAAAGGUGCGGGGCGAAGGGCCAAAGUGGUCCAGUGUUUUGGAUCAACUACUGACCAACAGUUGCUUCAAGAGGACUUCAUCUUACAUUCAGAACUCCUGGAUCAUUAAGACUAUAAUUACUACUGUAGAGUUGCAAUUUCCAUUCUUUAAAAUGGGUGAAGAAAUGAUAAUAUAACAAUAUGAUAUAUAAAUCUCCUUAAAUGGGAAAAAUUGAUCUAUUGCAGAUAUUUGACUGAGAUGUAGUUUUCUUUUUUUUUUAAUAAUCUGAAAAAUACCAGUUCUGUUGUACUGUUGUCUGAUACAAGCUCUAUAUAUAUAAAAAUGGGAAAUGUUGAUUUUUAUUUCUGAUAGACCACCUGUAUAUUGAGGGUUGUUUGUACCAGCCCACCUUCAAAAAAGGAGGCAGUUGCGGCUCUUUGGUCAUUUUGGCUUUUGUAUAUAAAGCAUUAUUCUUUUCCUUUUUUUUUUUAAGUGAAUUUCACUGGGACUUGCAAAGAGAUUAAUUUAGGGAUAGAAGCUAUAACAGCAUAAGCAAAGAAGCAAUUGGGAACAGUAACUAACAAAAUUCCCUAUAAUGAGACAAAAAAAAGGAAAAGAGAAAAAAAAGGAAAAAAACCCUCAUCUUCAUAUGCCAGUGGUGUGCACCCUGCUGCUUAGCAGCUUGGGCUCUAGGAAUCAAGACUCCCUGGAGGCAAGGAGUUAAAAGGCUUCUAGCAUCUCUGUUUAUAGUUAUUCUAGUAGAAUGUUAGAACAUGGUUUGUGCAUACUUGGGUCUGCACAUUCCCCUUCGAGAUUCAGUUCUGCUCUAGAGUUGGAAGUUCUGGUAUUGAAUUGAAAUCCUCUGUUCUCAGCCAGUUUCCUUCAGUACUCACCUGGCAUUAACAGCCCCGUCUUGCUACUACUUUCUAAUUUCCCCAGCUCUCCUGCCUCACCAACAUGGUAAGUAGUUAAGAGCCACAGGUUUCUGAGCCUUUGCAUCUCCCUGGGUGAUGUUGGGCCAGAAAUGACAGAUCACUGCAAUAACUGAGGCCUUGGGAGCUAACAAACAGAGAGGUCUCUUAGCUGGGGAUGGAAGAGAGUGACAUGUUGGGAAAGGGAUGCUGCCUACUCUAAGGGAAAUAGAAUGCAUAGGCUCCAAGAAGAACAAAAGGGGCAUUGUUCCACUCACCAUCAUCAUGUCUUUGUAAUGCUUGUAUAGUUGGUGUUAAUGCUCACGGCUUUUUUUAAUCUGGGGGUUCUGGUAACCUGUGGUGUAUUUUUUCUAUUUUUCCUGUGACUUUAUUUUUUCUUCCCCUUUCCGUGUUUCUUCCCACUAUGCACAGAUUUACCUGCAAACUCCUUAGUGUGGUCUGUGGGGAAUGUACAAAGUUUAAACACAUCAAUAAACACUUUAACUUCCAGAUUGCUUCUUCUCUU